CAGGAUUAGAUACCCUGGUAGUCCACGCCGUAAACGAUGAGUGCUAGAUGUCGGAAGAUUCUCUUUCGGUUUCGCAGCUAACGCAUUAAGCACUCCGCCUGGAGAGUACGGUCGCAAGAUUAAAACUCAAAGGAAUUGACGGGGGCUCGCACAAGCGGUGGAGCAUGCGGUUUAAUUCGAUGUUACGCGAAAAACCUUACCAACCCUUGACAUGGUGGUCGCGGAUCGCAGAGAUGCUUUCCUUCAGCUCGGCUGGACCGCACACAGGUGUUGCACGGCUGUCGUCAGCUCGUGUCGUGAGAUGUUGGGUUAAGUCCCGCAACGAGCGCAACCCUCAUUCUUAUUUGCCAGCGGGUAAUGCCGGGAACUAUAAGAAAACUGCUGGUGAUAAGCCAGAGGAAGGUGGGGACGACGUCAAGUCAUCAUGGCCCUUACGGGUUGGGCUACACGCGUGCUACAAUGGUGUUUACAGAGGGAAGCAAGACGGCGACGUGGAGCAAAUCCCUAAAAGACAUCUCAGUUCGGAUUGUUCUCUGCAACUCGAGAGCAUGAAGUUGGAAUCGCUAGUAAUCGCGGAUCAGCAUGCCGCGGUGAAUACGUUCUCGGGCCUUGUACACACUGCCCGUCACGCCAUGGGAGUUGGUUUUACCUGAAGG
rnacentral:rRNA from 1 species